CCCGAAAACCAAUGAUCUACUAUAAAAAAUAAAUUUUGUUACAUAAAAAUUUUAAUAAUAUUAUUUGUAGAUGUGAUAUGCUUUUCGUAUUGGUUGUUAGCUGGUUUUAAAAUAUUUUAUAGUUGGGUUAAACCCUGUAAUAUUAUUUUUAAUAUUUGACAAUUAGGAAGGGAUUAGCUUUUCUAAUUUAAUGAAUUUAUAUUAUUUUAUUUAUUUAAGUAGUUUUAAUAGUAAAUAUCUUUUUUAAUUGUUUUAUUACUUUUUAGUUUUAUUAUUAUUUUUAAAUUUAAAUUUAGAUCAUUAUAAAAGAUUGUGUUAAUUAUUUAACUUUAUUAUUAUCUUAAUAUUAGUAGAAAUUUUAUUUUAUAUCCUUAAUUAUUAAAUUAAUUAUAAUUUUAUUAAGGUAAAUAUUUAGUUAUUGUAUUAUUGUAAGUUUAAUGAAUUAGGCAAAAAUUAAAUAGAAUGUUUAACAAAGGCUUUUCUUUUAGAUAUUGUUUUAAGUAAGGUCUGCUCAAUGACUUAUGUUAAAUUGCCGCCUUAGCGUGAGGGUGUGAAAGUAGCAUAAUAAUUUGGCUUUUAAUUGAAGUCUGGAAUGAAAGGUUAAACUAUUUAAUUCUUUAUUAAACUAUUAUUUUGAAAUUUACAUUUCAGUGAGAAGUCUGAAAUUUUAAAGAGGGACGAUAAGACCCCGCAAGCUUUUGUUUUUACUUUAGUUGGGGCAAUUAUUAAAUAAUAUUUAAUAAAAACUUUAAUUUAUAUUUAAUUUGAUCCUUUAUUGAGGAAUUUUGAUAAAGUUACUGUGGGGAUAACAGCGUUAUUUUUAUUGAGAGCUCUUAUCGAUAUAAAAGUUUGCGACCUCGAUGUUGACUUAUAUUUUCUUUUUGGGGUAGGUUUUAAAUAAGAUAGUUUGUUCACCUAUUAUUUUUAUACUUGAGUUGAGUUCAGGUCGACGUAAGUCAGACUGGUUUCUAUCUUCUUUAAAUUGUUUAUCAUUUGUACGAAAGGACUUUGGUA
rnacentral:rRNA from 1 species